rnacentral:rRNA from 1 species
GGAUCAAGCGUCUGAAGGGCAUCUGGUGGAUGCCUUGGCACUGAGAGGCGAUGAAGGACGCAGCACGUUGCGAUAAGCCAUGGGGAGCCGCGAGCAGGCUUUGAUCCGUGGAUUUCCGAAUGGGGCAACCCACCGCGCAAGCGGUAUCCUCACCUGAAUCCAUAGGGUGGGGAGGCGAACCCGGCGAACUGAAACAUCUAAGUAGCCGGAGGAAAGGACAUCAACCGAGACUCCGCUAGUAGUGGCGAGCGAACGCGGACCAGGCCAGUCAUUCAGUCUACAUAACCGGAACCGUCUGGAAAGGCGGGCCAGAGCGGGUGAUAGCCCCGUACGGGUAAACCGGACUGAAUGCUCGAGUAGGGCGGGGCACGUGAAACCCUGUCCGAACAUGGGGGGACCACCCUCCAAGCCUAAGUACUCCUCAGUGACCGAUAGUGCACCAGUACCGUGAGGGAAAGGUGAAAAGCACCCCGACGAGGGGAGUGAAACAGUUCCUGAAACCGGAUGCCUACAAGCAGUCGGAGCCGCCAAUCUCUUCGGAGGGGCGCGGUGACGGCGUACCUUUUGUAUAAUGGGUCAGCGACUUACAGUAAGCAGCGAGCUUAAGGCGAUAGCCGGAGGCGCAGCGAAAGCGAGUCUGAACAGGGCGCUUGAGUUGCUUGCUGUAGACCCGAAACCCGGUGAUCUAGCCAUGGGCAGGUUGAAGGUGCGGUAACACGCACUGGAGGACCGAACUCACGCCUGUUGAAAAAGUCGGAGAUGACCUGUGGCUAGGGGUGAAAGGCCAAUCAAACCGGGAAAUAGCUGGUUCUCCGCGAAAGCUAUUUAGGUAGCGCGUCGGGCGAUUGCCCACGGGGGUAGAGCACUGGAUGGGCUAGGGGGCCUCGCGGCUUACCAAACCUAACCAAACUCCGAAUACCGUGGAGCACAGCCCGGCAGACAGACGGUGGGUGCUAAGGUCCAUCGUCGAGAGGGAAACAGCCCAGACCGCCAGCUAAGGUCCCCAAAUCACGGCUAAGUGGGAAAGGAUGUGGGAAGGCCAUGACAACCAGGAGGUUGGCUUAGAAGCAGCCAUCCUUUAAAGAAAGCGUAAUAGCUCACUGGUCUAGUUAAGCCGGCCUGCGCCGAAAAUGUAUCGGGGCUCAAGCCGUGUACCGAAGCUGCGGAUGUGAUCUCAGAUCACGUGGUAGCGGAGCGUUCCGUAAGCCUGCGAAGGGUGUCCGUGAGGCCGCCUGGAGGUAUCGGAAGUGAGAAUGCUGACAUGAGUAGCGACAAACAGUGUGAGAAACACUGUCGCCGAAAGUCCAAGGGUUCCUGCGCAAGGUUAAUCCACGCAGGGUGAGCCGGCCCCUAAGGCGAGGCCGAAAGGCGUAGUCGAUGGGAACCACGUUAAUAUUCGUGGGCCAGCGGGUGUGUGACGAAUGGGAAAGCGUGUCGGGCCUUAUCGGAUUGGCCCGGCUGGGGACCCGUUCCAGGAAACAGCCCCCGCAUCAGACCGUACCCCAAACCGACACAGGUGGACUGGUAGAGUAUACCCAGGCGCUUGAGAGAAUGGUGUUGAAGGAACUCGGCAAAUUGCCCUCGUAACUUCGGAAGAAGAGGGCCCCGUUCGUGCGCAAGCGCGGGCGGGGGGCACAGACCAGGGGGUGGCGACUGUUUACUAAAAACACAGGGCUCUGCGAAGCCGUACAAGGCGACGUAUAGGGUCUGACGCCUGCCCGGUGCCGGAAGGUUAAGAGGAGGGGUUCACGCUCCGAAUUGAAGCCCCGGUAAACGGCGGCCGUAACUAUAACGGUCCUAAGGUAGCGAAAUUCCUUGUCGGGUAAGUUCCGACCUGCACGAAUGGCGUAACGACUUCCCCGCUGUCUCCAACACCAACUCAGCGAAAUUGAACUCUCCGUGAAGAUGCGGAGUACCCGCGGUCAGACGGAAAGACCCCGUGCACCUUUACUACAGCUUUGCAGUGGUGCUAGGGAUCUCAUGUGUAGGAUAGGUGGGAGGCUAGGAAACCCGGGCGCCAGCUCGGGCGGAGCCAACCUUGAAAUACCACCCUUGAGGUCUCUGGCAUCUAACCGCGCUCCGUUGAUCCGGAGCCGGGACCCUGCAUGGCGGGUAGUUUGACUGGGGCGGUCGCCUCCCAAAGUGUAACGGAGGCGCGCGAUGGUGGGCUCAGAGCGGUCGGAAAUCGCUCGACGAGUGCAAUGGCAUAAGCCCGCCUGACUGCAAGACAGACAAGUCGAGCAGAGACGAAAGUCGGCCAUAGUGAUCCGGUGGUUCCAUGUGGACGGGCCAUCGCUCAACGGAUAAAAGGUACGCCGGGGAUAACAGGCUGAUGACUCCCAAGAGUCCAUAUCGACGGAGUCGUUUGGCACCUCGAUGUCGGCUCAUCACAUCCUGGGGCUGGAGCAGGUCCCAAGGGUUCGGCUGUUCGCCGAUUAAAGUGGUACGUGAGCUGGGUUUAGAACGUCGUGAGACAGUUCGGUCCCUAUCUGCCGUGGGUGUCGGAGUUUUGCGAGGAUCUGUCCCUAGUACGAGAGGACCGGGAUGGACAUACCUCUGGUGCACCGGUUGUCACGCCAGUGGCAUGGCCGGGUAGCUAAGUAUGGACGGGAUAACCGCUGAAAGCAUCUAAGCGGGAAACCCACCUCUAAACCAGAACUCCCUUGAGAGCCGUGACAGACCAUCACGUCGAUAGGAGGCAUGUGGACGGGCGGCAACGCCUGAAGCUGAGCCUUACUAAUCGCUCGAUCGGCUUGAUCCUUCCCA